GAGUUUGAUCCUGGCUCAGAUUGAACGCUGGCGGCAUGCCUUACACAUGCAAGUCGAACGGCAGCACGGGAGCUUGCUCCUGGUGGCGAGUGGCGAACGGGUGAGUAAUGCAUCGGAACGUAUCCUGGAGUGGGGGGUAACGUAGCGAAAGUUACGCUAAUACCGCAUAUUCUGUGAGCAGGAAAGCGGGGGACCUUCGGGCCUCGCGCUCUUGGAGCGGCCGAUGUCGGAUUAGCUAGUUGGUGAGGUAAAGGCUCACCAAGGCGACGAUCCGUAGCAGGUCUGAGAGGAUGAUCUGCCACACUGGAACUGAGACACGGUCCAGACUCCUACGGGAGGCAGCAGUGGGGAAUUUUGGACAAUGGGGGCAACCCUGAUCCAGCCAUGCCGCGUGAGUGAAGAAGGCC
rnacentral:rRNA from 1 species